GAUGAACGCUGGCGGCGUGCCUAAUACAUGCAAGUCGAGCGAACAGACGAGGAGCUUGCUCCUCUGACGUUAGCGGCGGACGGGUGAGUAACACGUGGAUAACCUACCUAUAAGACUGGGAUAACUUCGGGAAACCGGAGCUAAUACCGGAUAAUAUAUUGAACCGCAUGGUUCAAUAGUGAAAGACGGUUUUGCUGUCACUUAUAGAUGGAUCCGCGCCGCAUUAGCUAGUUGGUAAGGUAACGGCUUACCAAGGCAACGAUGCGUAGCCGACCUGAGAGGGUGAUCGGCCACACUGGAACUGAGACACGGUCCAGACUCCUACGGGAGGCAGCAGUAGGGAAUCUUCCGCAAUGGGCGAAAGACUGACGGAGCAACGCCGCGUGAGUGAUGAAGGUCUUCGGAUCGUAAAACUCUGUUAUUAGGGAAGAACAAAUGUGUAAGUAACUAUGCACGUCUUGACGGUACCUAAUCAGAAAGCCACGGCUAACUAC
rnacentral:rRNA from 1 species